UACGGGGGGGGCAAGCGUUGUUCGGAAUUACUGGGCGUAAAGGGCGCGUAGGCGGCCUGUUAAGUCGAACGUGAAAUCCCCGGGCUCAACCCGGGAACUGCGUCCGAUACUGGCAGGCUUGAAUCCGGGAGAGGGAUGCGGAAUUCCAGGUGGAGCGGUGAAAUGCGUAGAGAUCUGGAAGAACACCAAUGGCGAAGGCAGCGUCCUGGGAAGUGACUGACGCUCAUGUGCGAAAGCUAGGGGAGCGAACGGG
rnacentral:rRNA from 1 species